UGGCUCAGGACGAACGCUGGCGGCGUGCUUAACACAUGCAAGUCGAACGGUGAACCCGCUUCGGUGGGGGAUCAGUGGCGAACGGGUGAGUAACACGUGGGCAACCUGCCCUCAGCUCUGGGAUAACUCCAAGAAAUUGGGGCUAAUACCGGAUAUGACCGCUGACCGCAUGGUCUGGUGGUGGAAAGAUUUAUCGGCUGGGGAUGGGCCCGCGGCCUAUCAGCUUGUUGGUGGGGUAGUGGCCUACCAAGGCGACGACGGGUAGCCGGCCUGAGAGGGUGACCGGCCACACUGGGACUGAGACACGGCCCAGACUCCUACGGGAGGCAGCAGUGGGGAAUAUUGCGCAAUGGGCGAAAGCCUGACGCAGCGACGCCGCGUGGGGGAUGACGGCCUUCGGGUUGUAAACCUCUUUCAGCAGGGACGAAGCGAAAGUGACGGUACCUGCAGAAGAAG
rnacentral:rRNA from 1 species